AUUGAACGCUGGCGGCAUGCCUUACACAUGCAAGUCGAACGGUAACGGGCCUUCGGGUGCCGACGAGUGGCGCACGGGUGAGUAAUACAUCGGAACGUGCCCGAUCGUGGGGGAUAACGAGGCGAAAGCUUUGCUAAUACCGCAUACGAUCUACGGAUGAAAGCAGGGGACCGCAAGGCCUUGCGCGGACGGAGCGGCCGAUGGCAGAUUAGGUAGUUGGUGGGAUAAAAGCUUACCAAGCCGACGAUCUGUAGCUGGUCUGAGAGGAUGAUCAGCCACACUGGGACUGAGACACGGCCCAGACUCCUACGGGAGGCAGCAGUGGGGAAUUUUGGACAAUGGGCGCAAGCCUGAUCCAGCCAUGCCGCGUGCAGGAUGAAGGCCUUCGGGUUGUAAACUGCUUUUGUACGGAACGAAAAGCCUUCUUUUAAUACAGGAGGUUCAUGACGGUACCGUAAGAAUAAGCACCGGCUAACUACGUG
rnacentral:rRNA from 1 species